rnacentral:sRNA from 1 species
CGGUGGUAAUAACAGCAAUUCUGGUGGCAUUAGAAGGCCCUACUAUGAUACUUGGUUCCAAUGGGCCUGGAAAAGAAUCAGCAGUAGCAUUUGACUGGAGAUCAUCAAGAGAAGGUGGUUUUGAAGGUGACAGUGAUAAGGGAGAAAAGGUAGUAGGCAUCAGCAUCAACCUUAGACUCAGAGGCAGAGUCAGAAGCUUAGCGUCAAAAAGAAGAGUUCCAUCACCACCACCUGCUCCCAUGAGAAAUCGAGAGAAGAUAACAGUCAAAACACGAGCUUCUCCUCCUGCUGUUCACUAUCGUCAC